CCUUUGUGGGGUGCUCGAGUGGCGAACGGGUGAGUAACACGUGAGUAACCUGCCCUUGACUUUGGGAUAACUUCAGGAAACUGGGGCUAAUACCGGAUAGGAGCCCCUGCUGCAUGGUGGGGGUUGGAAAGUUUCGGCGGUUGGGGAUGGACUCGCGGCUUAUCAGCUUGUUGGUGGGGUAGUGGCUUACCAAGGCUUUGACGGGUAGCCGGCCUGAGAGGGUGACCGGCCACAUUGGGACUGAGAUACGGCCCAG
rnacentral:rRNA from 1 species